rnacentral:rRNA from 1 species
CGCAUCCUUCACAAGAUGAGUGGCGGACGGGUGAGUAACGCGUGAGAAUCUGCCUUCAGGACUGGGACAACCACUGGAAACGGUGGCUAAUACCAGAUAUGCAGCGAGUGAAAAGGUUUAUUCCGCCUGAAGAUGAGCUCGCGUCAGAUUAGCUAGUUGGUGAGGUAACGGCUUACCAAGGCAUCGAUCUGUAGCUGGUCUGAGAGGAUGACCAGCCACACUGGGACUGAGACACGGCCCAGACUCCUACGGGAGGCAGCAGUGAGGAAUUUUCCGCAAUGGGCGCAAGCCUGACGGAGUAAUACCGCGUGCGGGAGGGAGGUCUAUUGACUGUAAACCGCUUUUAUUAAGAAAGAAUUCUGACGGUACUUAAUGAAUAAGCCUCGGCUAACUCCGUGCCAGCAGCCGCGGUAAUACGGAGGAGGCAAGCGUUAUCCGGAAUUAUUGGGCGUAAAGCGUCCGUAGGUGGUUUUGCAAGUCGGCUGUCAAAGCCCGUGGCUCAACCACGGAAAGGCAGUGGAAACUACAAAACUCGAGUGCAGUAGGGGCAGAGGGAAUUCCCAGUGUAGCGGUGAAAUGCGUAGAGAUUGGGAAGAACACCCGUGGCGAAAGCGCUCUGCUGGACUGCAACUGACACUAAGGGACGAAAGCUAGGGGAGCGAAUGGGAUUAGAUACCCCAGUAGUCCUAGCCGUA